AGAUGUUACACUCAGAAAGAGAGUGAACAACUAGAAGAUGUGGAAGAAAAUUCCAAGGGCCAAUUUUGAAACAAACCAGGCAGAGACCCAGAUGCAGAAUCCUGCAGGCUGAGGGAUGUUAGGAAGAGUUAGCCCACCACUGCUGCGCUGAAACCAGGAUGACGCAAACUGGGCCUCAGGCCAGUAGAUCAAUAAACCAAACUCCCUGUCACCUCAGACUCUGCACCUGUUAAAGCCCUGUAAAGAGCCGACAUGUAAGGACUUAUACUGACUGGAUACAGAGAAUAUGGAGCAAAUCAAACGUAUUUAAAUAGUAAAUUAUCAUAUUGUUAUAAAUAAAAAUUUACAUUGCAUUUCCUUUUA
rnacentral:lncRNA from 1 species